rnacentral:ncRNA from 1 species
AAUACCCCGUAGGAUAAGGGUUAAGCCUGCUGGUGCGGAUGGGAUCUUUCCCGCCUGUUUUGUUUGUUUCAGUAAAAAACAAGCACCCCAUAAAUAAU